UAUGGCCAUACCACUCUGAACAUGCCCAAUCUCGUCUGAUCUCAGAAGCUAAGCAGGGUGGGGCCUGGUUAGUACUUGGAUGGG
rnacentral:rRNA from 11 species